GGGGUGCAGCAGGCGCGAAAACUCUGCAAUAGGCGAAAGCUUGACAGGGUUAUUCUGAGUGAUUUCCGCUAAGGAAAUCUUUUGGCACCUCUAAAAAUGGUGCAGAAUAAGGGGUGGGCAAGUCUGGUGUCAGCCGCCGCGGUAAUACCAGCACCCCGAGUUGUCGGGACGAUUAUUGGGCCUAAAGCAUCCGUAGCCGGUCUUGCAAGUCCUCCGUUAAAUCCAGCUGCUUAACAGAUGGGCUGCGGAGGAUACUACAAGGCUAGGAGGCGGGAGAGGCAAGCGGUACUCAGUGGGUAGGGGUAAAAUCCUCUGAUCCAUUGAAGACCACCAGUGGCGAAGGCGGCUUGCCAGAACGCGCUCGACGGUGAGGGAUGAAAGCUGGGGGAGCAAACCGGAUUAGAUACCCGGGUAGUCCCAGCUGUAAACGAUGCAGACUCGGUGAUGGGCUGGCCUUGUGCCAACCCAGUGCCGCAGGGAAGCCGUUAAGUCUGCCGCCUGGGGAGUACGGUCGCAAGACUGAAACUUAAAGGAAUUGGCGGG
rnacentral:rRNA from 1 species